rnacentral:rRNA from 1 species
UACGAAGGGGGCAAGCGUUGUUCGGAAUUACUGGGUGUAAAGGGCGCGUAGGCGGUGCUCUAAGUCAGGCGUGAAAGCCCUGGGCUCAACCCGGGAAUUGCGCUUGAUACUGGGGCGCUUGAAUCCAGGAGAGGUUGGUGGAAUUCCCAGUGUAGAGGUGAAAUUCGAUAGAGAUUGGGAAGAACACCGGUGGCGAAGGCGGCCAACUGGACUGGUAUUGACGCUGAGGCGCGAAAGCGUGGGGAGCAAACAGG